rnacentral:misc_RNA from 1 species
UCCGGGUUGGUCCCGGCGGUCCCGCUAGACAUGGUAACUAGCGGCGGGGGUUGCGCUCGUUGCGGGACUUAACCCAACACCUCACGGCACGAGCUGACGACAGCCGUGCAGCACCUGUGCCGGCUCCCUCGCGGGUCCCGCCCCUUUCAGGUUGGUACCACCGGCAUGUCAUGCCCGGGUAAGGUUCUUCGCGUUGCAUCGAAUUAAACCACACGCUCCGCUGCUUGUGCGGGCCCCCGUCAAUUCCUUUGAGUUUUAGCCUUGCGGCCGUAGUCCCCAGGCGGGGUGCUUAUCGCGUUAGCUGCGGCACCGAGGGGGUCGAUACCCCCGACACCUAGCACCCAUCGUUUACAGCGUGGACUAC